GGGCCCGCACAAGCGGUGGAGCAUGUGGUUUAAUUCGAUGCAACGCGAAGAACCUUACCAGGCCUUGACAUCCCCGGAACUUUCUAGAGAUAGAUUGGUGCCUUCGGGAACGCAGUGACAGGUGCUGCAUGGCUGUCGUCAGCUCGUGUCGUGAGAUGUUGGGUUAAGUCCCGCAACGAGCGCAACCCACGUCUUUAGUUGCCAGCAUUUAGUUGGGCACUCUAGAGAGACCGCCGGUGAUAAACCGGAGGAAGGUGUGGAUGACGUCAAGUCAUCAUGCCCCUUACAUCCUGGGCUACACACGUACUACAAUGCUACGGACAAAGGGCAGCAAGUUCGCGAGGACAAGCA
rnacentral:rRNA from 1 species